rnacentral:rRNA from 1 species
GACGAACGCUGGCGGCGUGCUUAACACAUGCAAGUCGAACGGUGAAGCGCCUUCCUUUUUGGUGGGUGUGGUUGAGUGGCGAACGGGUGAGUAACACGUGCGUAACCUGCCCCCUUCUUCUGGAUAACCGCAUGAAAGUUUGGCUAAUACGGGAUAUUCUGGUUCUUUCGCAUGAUUGGUCUGUGAAAGCUAUUGUUUCUGUGCGCGAUGGUCUGGCGGCCUAUCAGCUUGUUGGGGUGGUGAUGGCCUAGCAAGGCUGGGAGGGGUAGCCGGCCUGGGAGGGUGGACGGCCAGAGUGGGACUGAGACAAGGUUGAGACUGAGACGGGAGGCAGAAGCGGGGAAGAGGGCACAAUGGGCGAAAGGGUGAAGCAGGGGGGCGGCGUGAGGGAGGGAGGCGUGUGGGUGGUGAACCUCUUUGGGCAGUGAAGCAGGCCUGCCUGGUAUGAGGGGGGGGUGACGGUAGCUGGAGAAGAAGCGCCGGCUAACUACGUG